AACUAAAAUUGUUGAAGUUAAAAAGCUCGUAGUUGAAUGUCUGCUCUGGACGUAGGGGGCCGCUCACGUGGUCCGCCAUGCGCACCCGGCAUUCUGCUUGCCACUCGGGGGUUGGUUUUAACCGGUCGGCCCCCGGUGGAUGGCGGUUAUCGCUUUACAAAAAUUAGAGUGCUCAAAGCGGGCUUUGAAAGGCUCGGAUAGUAAUGCACUAUACGAUGGAACAUGACUUCGGCUCUAGGUUCGUUGGGGAUAGAUGGAGACUGAGGUAAUGAUUAAUAGGAGCAGACGGGGGCAUUCGUAUUCCGAUGCUAGAGGUGAAGUUCUUGGAGCGUCGGAAGACGACCCACUGCGAAAGCAUUUGCCAAGAAUGCUUCCCUUAACCAAGAACGAAAGUCAGAGGCUCAAAGAAGAUUAGAUACCUUUGUAGUUCUGACCCUAAACGAUGCCCGCCAGCGAUACGGCUGCGUACAAAGGUGACGCGCCGGGCAGCUUGCCCGGGAAACCUGAGUUCAGGCUCCGGGGGAAGAGUGGUUGCAAAGCUGAAACUUAAAGGAAUAAAUG